rnacentral:rRNA from 1 species
UAGGGAAUCUUCCACAAUGGACGCAAGUCUGAUGGAGCAACGCCGCGUGAGUGAAGAAGGUUUUCGGACCGUAAAGCUCUGUUGUUGGUGAAGAAGGAUAGAGGUAGUAACUGGCCUUUAUUUGACGGUAAUCAACCAGAAAGUCACGGCUAACUACGUGCCAGCAGCCGCGGUAAUACGUAGGUGGCAAGCGUUGUCCGGAUUUAUUGGGCGUAAAGCGAGCGCAGGCGGAAGAAUAAGUCUGGUGUGAAAGCCCUCGGCUUAACCGAGGAAUUGCAUCGGAAACUGUUUUUCUUGAGUGCAGAAGAGGAGAGUAGAACUCCAUGUGUAGCGGUGGAAUGCGUAGAUAUAUGGAAGAAUACCAGUGGCGAAGGCGGCUCUCUGGUCUGCAACUGACGCUGAGGCUCGAAAGCAUGGGUAGCGAACAGGAUUAGAUACCCUGGUAGUCCAUGCCGUAAACGAUGAGUGCUAAGUGUUGGGAGGCUUCCGCCUCUCAGUGCUGCAGCUAACGCAUUAAGCACUCCGCCUGGGGGAGUACGACCGCAAGGUUGAAAC